UACGUAGGGUCCGAGCGUUGUCCGGAGUCACUGGGCAUAAAGCGCACGUAGGCGGCUAGGUCCGUCAGAUGUGAAAGCCCCCGGCUCAACCGGGGAAUUGCAUCGGAUACCGCCUGGCUUGAGGACGGUUGGGGUGAGUGGAACUCCUGGUGGAGCGGUGAAAUGCGUAGAUAUCAGGAGGAACACCGGUGGCGAAAGCGGCUCACUGGACCGUUACUGACGCUGAGGUGCGAAAGCUAGGGGAGCAAACGGG
rnacentral:rRNA from 1 species